UGAAUUAUAGUUAAUAAAUAACAUUUGAGUUGCAAUCAAAAAGUGCUACAAGCUAAUUUUA
rnacentral:tRNA from 1 species